rnacentral:lncRNA from 1 species
GGAAGACAUACAUGUCCAUUCCCAGUGAGAUGAGGGAUAUGGGGCAAAGGCGCCCUGUGUGUGCGAAGGCGGCCUGGGGAGCACAGGCUCUGGGACAGCAGGGGGAAGGUGGGGUCAGCGUAGCUUCGGAAAUCUUUUUUGGAAAGCAAUAUAGUUCUGGUUUUGUUUUGUUUUACAAGUCAAUGAUUUUUAGUAUAUUCACAGAGUUGCGUGACUAUCUCCCCAAAAAGAAAUCCCAUACUCCUUAGUAGUCACUCCCCGCACUAGCCCCCCAGCCUCAGGCAACCAUUAAUCGACUUUCUAUUGCUGUGGAUUUGCCUAUUCUGGACAUCUCAUGGGAAUGGAAUCAUACGCUAUGUGGUCUUUUGUGACCGGCUUCUUUCUCUUAAGCAAUAUGUUUUUGAGCACAAUUUAAGAACAUCUAUUAAAUUAAAAUUUUUUCAUACUCUUUAAUGCAGCAUCUGUGAAUUAUGGCCUAACUAUACAAAGACACCCUUAUGCAUCCAUUAAGGAGAAUAAAGGAUUAAAAUAUGGACUCCAGAACCAGGUUACCAAUGGCCUGCUGGGUCUAACUGGACGUCCAUGCUCCCGUGCGAGGUUCACUGGGUCUCAAAGCCCAGCCCCCUCGUGCCGUGCUGGCUCCUCCUGGGCUGGACAGAGUUCCUUAGAACCAGAACGAAUCAGGAUAAAUUCUUAGAAGUGAAAUUCCUAGAAGAGUCUUCAUACAUCUUGAAAAUCUGCUUUCCAGAAACAUGGAUUGAAGUAUUCCCUGUGGACAUUUCCCAGAUGAUGUAUUUUCACUGCACUAUGUUCCUUCCUAGUAUUAGGCAAAUAAAUAUGAAAUCCAACAGAGUUAUUUCUCUAACAUGUUUUCAUCUCUUCCCG